GAUUCUGGCUCAGAUUGAACGCUGGCGGCGUGCUUAACACAUGCAAGUCGCGCGUGAAAGGACUUCGGUCCGAGUAAAGCGGCGCACGGGUGAGUAACGCGUGGAUGAUCUACCCAUGAGUUAGGAAUAACGGCUGGAAACGGUCGCUAAUACCAAAUACGCUCCGAUUUCAACUUCGGGGGAAAGGUGGCCUCUGCUUGCAAGCUACUGCUCAUGGAUGAGUCCGCGUCCCAUUAGCUAGUUGGUGGGGUAACGGCCCACCAAGGCGACGAUGGGUAGCCGGUCUGAGAGGAUGACCGGCCACACUGGGACUGGAACACGGCCCAGACUCCUACGGGAGGCAGCAGUGGGGAAUAUUGCGCAAUGGGCGAAAGCCUGACGCAGCGACGCCGCGUGAGGGAAUGAAGGUCCUCGGAUCGUAAACCUCUGUCAGGAGGGAAGAACCGCCACGGUGCUAAUCAGCCGUGGUCUGACGGUACCUCCAAAGGAAGCACCGGCUAACUCCGUGCCAGCCGCCGC
rnacentral:rRNA from 1 species